GGCAUACCCAACUUUGAAUCCAAAGGAGGCUGCCGUCCUUUCCUGAAGAUCUACCAGGCCAUGCAACCAGUCUAUACGUCGGGAAUAUACAAUGUCCAAGGAGACAGCAACACCAGUAUCUGCAUCACCAUUGAACCCGGCCUGCUUCUAAAGGGAGACAUCCUGUUGAAGUGUUACCACAAGAGGUUCAGAAACCCCC